CACCCACGCGUCGCCCCGCGCUCCCGCCCGCGCCCGGGCGCCCUGGCCCGCAGUUCCCGUCUGACGGCAGAGCAGCCGCCUGGAGUCCCGCCAGACGCGCCGCCUGCGCGGUUUCCUGGGAUCCGGGCAGGGCCGCAUCCGAGCUGCGGGCCCCCACGCAUCCUGGCUGUCCGAGGCGAAACCUCGCGCUUCCUCACCCCCUUCCGUGCCCAGAGCGAGACGUGGACAGGCGCCGCGUAGAUCCGGGGGAGGCUCCCAAUUGGAACCAGCCUUCUGGCUGCGCCACUACCCCUUCCCUCCCGGCCCGCCUUCGGAAGAGCAUCCCCGUUCCCUGGCCCCUCUUCCAGCUUCGAGUACUGUGAAGGGCAGGCUCGCAGCCGCGGACAGAGCCGAGGACAGGCCUCCAUUGGCCUCAGGAUGAGCGAAGAAUUUCGUUUCAGCUCGGGAUUGUGCGCGCAUCCUGCGCGGUCCGUGCUCUGACAUUGGGGUGGGGAGCGUCUGCAAAGGUGAGGAUGGAUCGGAAAUGCCCGCGGGCUGCACCUUUGCACGUUUGGAAUCUGCUCUCGCCUUUGCCUGUUCCGCCUUUGGCCUCGGGGUUCCUGGAGGCCAGGCCCAAACGCACACUAGUUUCCCUGGCCUCAGCUUCCCAGCGUUUCUCUCACGGGCUUCUGCUCCACCACCCCCACCUCCCAAUGUCUUUUUGCAUUAGGGAUCCUACAGGACCCUGAAGGAAUGUCAAGGUGAGCCUCACCCCUUGCCCUUGGUAAAGCCAGAAUAAGAUUAGAACCCCGUUUCCAGUCUCCCAGCCCAGCACUGUUUACAUUAAAGCGGUGGGUGUUCCCAGGAACCCCAGCUCAGGAGCUACAGUCUAAAAGACGGUUUCAUUUUCAAAUGGGUUUGUCAAGGUGCUAUCUCUCGCCCACUUGAAGAUUCACGAUGCUCAUUAGCAUAUCAAAGGCUCCGAGAAGUCCCGCUAUAAGAAGCCCAAGUAAUUUAGUUUACAGUGUUAACUGCCUGUGGAUCUGGAGCAAUUAGAUUUUGCCACCUAAGACUUCCAAGCAUCCCUGUGUCUUGGCUGUCAUUCAUUCCCACCGUUUCCAGCCCAUUGGCUCUGGUGUGAUUGAAGAUCUGGGGUGCUCCUUCUCCUUCCCAGGGUAUUUCUCUAGCAGAGGGUGGGCUUGCCUCAAUGAGGGAGAAGAUACCUGUUCCUGCUAGGCACAUGAGAGACCUGGGAAUUGGCGGACCUGAACAUUCCUCUACAUUGUUUGGAAAAUGAAGUCAAGGUUAUCCAGAUGGUGUCCCUGUUAAGAACAUUGCCUAUAAAAGAUGCUGGCAUGGACCGUGAGCAGCUGGCAGGAGUGGGACUCACUCACCAAAGAGAAGAGAAAGCUCCGAAGUUGGGGUGAACUGCUGGCCCAGCCUCCAUAAGGUUCCCAGAUGAUUGUGCAACUAUCACCACCAUCCACCUCCAGAACGUUUUUCACCUUGCAAGACCGAAACUGUCCCAUUCAAAUUGUGGCUGUUUUGUUGUUACUGUUGUUUUCUUUCCUUCGGGAACUCCUAGAACACUGAGUCCUUUGCGGUCUCAUUUAAGCUGGAGUGCUGCUGCCUUCCUCCAGGUUUCCAUGUUUCUGAGGCCAUGGAGAUUCCCGUAGUGGUCAUGCCGACCUCUCCCAGGGCUUGCUUCCCUGGCAAGGGGCACCAUUCUGGGCUGGGCCAGCAGAGCGCUGCAGAGUGGCCAACAGAGGGGAGAGUGGAUGACCUCUGCCCAGCAGCUUCCCUUCAGCAUUGUCCAAAGGAAGAUCCAAGAAGCGUGAAGAUUCAUUUUGCCUUAACACAAGAGAAAUUCCGAUACUCCUUAUGCUGUGACUUGGUUCCAAGAUUCCAGACACCCGGAACUGAGCCGUGCACCUCCAUGCCCUAAACAAUGGGUUUAAGCUCCAGCUUUUGUUCCUUUUCUCUUUUUCCAGAUCACUGUUGAAGUUGCAUCCUCAGCUCAGAACCAGCGCCCUGAGGAUCUCUUCCUAGCCCCCAGAGCUCAUGGUGCUCUGUCUGUGGUUGGGUGACCUUACUCAGGAGCAGACGUCUCCUUUGCCUUCACGGUGUCUUAUCCAACCAGAUGUGCCUGAAACAUUCCAGAGCUAACUGGCUCUUCUAGAUGUGCCUUCCUGCUUGGCUUCCAGCUGCUUCUCCAGAUGCGAGAAGGACGUGUAAAACAGCCCCGACACCCACCCCCUCCUCCUGCUGAGACCCUGUACCAUAGGACUGGCCACCUGACCUGGCCCAGAAUUUUUGAAUACUGGAGGCAGCCUCUUUGGCAUCCCUCAUUCGACUCCAGGACUCAGUCCAGCUUGAGGUAGUCCACAGUGGACUGUGGACUCCUACCAGUCCAAAAGUCUGGGACUACUUGCGGAUCCAGUAGAGGAAUUUUCUAGUAUUCUACGAAGGCCAAAAGAGAGGGUGGGAGAGGGUGGGAGUGGGAGGGGUGUGGGUCAGUAGCGAGGGGGACCGAUGUGCCUCAUUUAAUAGUUUAGUGGUGAUUACUAAUUUGCUUUUCAGAAUAAAGUUUGGUUUGUCUGUU